rnacentral:rRNA from 1 species
UAGCUUGCUAGAAGAUGACGAGUGGCGGACGGGUGAGUAAUGCUUGGGAACUUGCCUUUGCGAGGGGGAUAACAGUUGGAAACGACUGCUAAUACCGCAUAAUGUCUUCGGACCAAACGGAGCUUCGGCUCCGGCGCAAAGAGAGGCCCAAGUGAGAUUAGCUAGUUGGUAAGGUAACGGCUUACCAAGGCGACGAUCUCUAGCUGUUCUGAGAGGAAGAUCAGCCACACUGGGACUGAGACACGGCCCAGACUCCUACGGGAGGCAGCAGUGGGGAAUAUUGCACAAUGGGGGAAACCCUGAUGCAGCCAUGCCGCGUGUGUGAAGAAGGCCUUCGGGUUGUAAAGCACUUUCAGUUGUGAGGAAAAGUUAGUAGUUAAUACCUGCUAGCCGUGACGUUAACAACAGAAGAAGCACCGGCUAACUCCGUGUCAGCAGCCGCGGUAAUACGGAGGGUGCGAGCGUUAAUCGGAAUUACUGGGCGUAAAGCGCACGCAGGCGGUUUGUUAAGCUAGAUGUGAAAGCCCCGGGCUCAACCUGGGAUGGUCAUUUAGAACUGGCAGACUAGAGUCUUGGAGAGGGGAGUGGAAUUCCAGGUGU